UCUUGCUGGUUCAGCACGGCUUGACAGGUUGGUGCCAUACGGGGGGGGGGGCACAUGAGCAGAGUCACCCCCUUGCAUCGUUCGGGCCCUCUCUGGGCAUCUCAGGAAAAGCAGAUUUGCAGUCAGCCGUGCUGCGCAGGUCAGGGCGGCACUGCCCUCUGGGGUCCUUGGUUACAGUUGGGACGGGUUCAUUCGGCAGGCUGCGCUUCGGAUGUCCAGGAUGGCAACGAUGGACUGCUGGCGAGGAAGGUGGGCCAGGCUGGUCGC